GUCUUUCUUUUUAUCACAAAGCAGGGCAGACAGCAAGCGGUGAAACGUAAGCAAGAAGUACGGACACUGGAUGAAGCGCACGGCAGUGACGUUGCUUGCGUUAUCUGUUGCGUUGGCGUCUUAUCAAGAUUGUCGUCAAUACCGGACAACGAUUACGGCUAUGGACAACAGCACAUGUAUUUCAAAGUACUACAGGGGAUUAUUUGAUGGCUACAGCUUGGAUCCUAUUCC